UCGGGAAUCGGCUAACGGGCAAGCCGCCUGGCUCUGAACCAGGAAACGAGGGUUCAACUCCUUCUUCCCGGA
rnacentral:tRNA from 1 species